GCUUUGACACUAAACCAGCUUGUGAAUGAUCAUUUUCUUUUUCCAUCUUGGGCCAUAUUCACGUUAUUCUUCCCCGAAAACUUUGUUGUAUUUAUUUUUGAUUAAUGCGGGUGUCCGGGUCAGCUUGCAUGCACCUCGACUUAUCCCACACGCCCUGAAGUUAACGACCAUGUAAGCCUCUCCCACACGUCCUGAAGUUAACGACCAUGUAAGCCUCUAGUAGCCCUGAAAGGACUCAAACUAACUUUGUUGUAUUUAUUCUCUCUAAAGGAAGCUCCUUAGGAUUUGCACUUUGUCAUCAGCAUUAAUUUUAUGUAAACAGCAGUGGU
rnacentral:lncRNA from 1 species